GGGCGUGUGGUCUAGUGGUAUGAUUCUCGCUUUGGGCGAUUCAGAGGUACACCUUUGGAACAGCAUACUCAAGCAUGUGAGAGGUCCUGGGUUCAAUUCCCAGUAUGCCCC
rnacentral:tRNA from 1 species